GUACGGUUGCACAAGAGAAAGGGGGGAGAAGGGGUAUGAACCCUAACCACAAGAAAAUCCAGCAAUUGAAGGUGUUAUGGAGCAAGAAUCGAAUGCAUGAACUCGUUUUCUUGAUGAUCUAGCCCUAGCAAACAUGUGGAUAGGAAUCACAUUAGCAUGGACUCAAGAACGGAAGGUUAACGGGUCAAGCGGAGGCGAGGAAUCAAGCAUGAACACUAACGCUUAAGGUGCUAUAUUGAAGUUCGUCAAGGAUUAGACACUCGGAUGGAAUGAAUAGUUCUAGAAGGACGAUGCGAUGGAAAGUAGAUGUGGAUAGAACGUUAUGAGGUUACAUGAUUAAGAAUCUUGCUCGUAUAUAACUGAAGGGGUAUGGUCCCAAAACGACCAUUACCCGCAUCAAACAAACCCCUACCAGUAAGCAAACCGCACCCAUGCGGUCACAUCCUUCGAACCCAUUCGGUUCGAAGAUGAAUAGCUUGACCCAAGUACGAAAGAAGAUGAGCAUAUCGAUGCGGCUGGCACCGCAUCAUAUGGCCAUUUUCGUCACGACAAGGGAAGCCAGCAAAUAGUCUCCACAUACGAUGAUGCGGCCAACACCGCAUCUCGCGUAUUUCUUGAUCACAAGUAGGAGACGCGGUAACUUCAGACGUUACCGCAUGCAGCGAUGCGGCUCACACCGCACCCUGCAUAUCCAACAAGUGGACUGACACGCCAGGCAAGUGGCUGACACCACGAGGCAAGUGGCGCCGGCGACAGUCCCCUGUCAGAGCUAUUAAAGCAAUGGGCUGACGUGGCGUAACCCCCACGGCCGGCGAGACUGACACACCUGCAACGGUGCAGCUCGUCGUCAGCCCAUCCAUCAAUCUCCUCCUUCACUCCUCGGCUAUAAAUACCGACCCCAAACCAGGUUUGAGGUUGUACAAAUCACAGAUUAUCACCAUGAGGUGUAGCGAUCAAAGACCGAGUCACGAGAUAGAUUGUACGGGAAUGUUGAUUUUGUAAAGUGAUAGUUAUAAGUUAUGCUUUUAUUAUGUAAAUAAGUACAAAAGAUGCAUAUAAUGUAAGAAAGUGU
rnacentral:lncRNA from 1 species